ACCACUCCCACAAACAUCUACGACCGCGCCUACAUAGUUUUGCAUGUUUACAAUUCUAAUUUUGAACAGCCAAUCAGGUUCUUGGUAAUAAUUGCAAUUAUAUGUCGAUUGGCUGUUUAAAAUUAGAAUUGUAAACAUGCAAAAAUAUGUAGGCGCGGUCGUAGACGUUUGUGGGAGUGGU
rnacentral:miRNA from 1 species